AUGAACGCUAGCGACAGGCCUAACACAUGCAAGUCAGGGGCAGCACAAGGAGCAAUCUGAGGUGGCGACCGGCGCACGGGUGAGUAACACGUAUGCAACCUGCCUGUAAGCGGGGAAUAACCCGUUGAAAGACGGACUAAUACCGCAUAAUACUAAAUUACUGCAUGGUAAUUUAUUUAAACAUUUAUGGCUUACAGAUGGGCAUGCGCAUGAUUAGCUAGUUGGAGAGGUAACGGCUCCCCAAGGCAACGAUCAUUAGGGGUUCUGAGAGGAAGGUCCCCCGCACUGGUACUGAGACACGGACCAGACUCCUACGGGAGGCAGCAGUGAGGAAUAUUGGUCAAUGGACGAGAGUCUGAACCAGCCAAGUCGCGUGCAGGAAGAAUGUUCCCUAUGGAUUGUAAACUGCUUUUGCAGGGGAAUAAAGUGCAUCACGUGUGAUGUUUUGUAUGUACUCUGCGAAUAAGGAUCGGCUAACUCCGUGCCAGCCGCUGC
rnacentral:rRNA from 1 species